CAUUGCCUACGGGAGGCAGCAGUGGGGAAUAUUGCACAAUGGGGGAAACCCUGAUGCAGCGACGCCGCGUGAGUGAAGAAGUAUUUCGGUAUGUAAAGCUCUAUCAGCAGGGAAGAAAAUGACGGUACCUGACUAAGAAGCCCCGGCUAACUACGUGCCAGCAGCCGCGGUAAUACGUAGGGGGCAAGCGUUAUCCGGAAUUACUGGGUGUAAAGGGAGCGUAGACGGCUGUGCAAGUCUGGAGUGAAAGGCGGGGG
rnacentral:rRNA from 1 species